rnacentral:lncRNA from 1 species
CUCAGUCACUACCUGUUUAUUAUUUAUUUAUUAGGUGUGCUUCGUAGCAAUAGCGUGUAAGCUCCCUGAAGGUGCAGGAUCCUUUCUAUUUUUGUAUGUCCACAAUUUAGCGCAGUGUCUGGCAUAUAGUGGCCCUUUAAUAAAUGCUUGCACAAUUAAUGCAAAGGAAGACAAUCCUACACCCUAACUCUCCUCCUCCUACCUCUCCCCAACACCUGUCUCCUGAAGACAGAAUAACAGUGACUAAAAUGACAAUUCUUCAAUUCCUUAUUGAACUCUUCCAAAGGUAACUAAGCACACUCAAGAGAAUGAACACGAUCAGAGCACUGUUUCUCCUCCAGGAAGGAAGCUCCAGAAUAAUUCACUUGAGAAAGCAACUGAGUCACGGAGGAGGCUAAUUUAUUCCCGGAGAAAUACCUUUCCUUUCCCAAACUGAGACGUCAAGUCGGUGAACAGACUUGCAUUUAUUUUUUUAAACCAGGCGUUUCUCGCACUUGCUAAUGAAUCUGACACUUGUGAAAUCUAAACAGGAAGCCGGAGUUCUCCAAAGCUCUGUGAAGGAAAUUCAUUCCCUCUUAUGUCGUCAACGUGCGCAUUCCGAUGCGCAGGCGAGCGGAGCCAUAACCGGGAGAAACCUUGGAGACCAUCGUAAUUAUAACAAUUUAGCCAACAGCUGCAUUUGCAAGUUUACAAAGCCCUUGACAGACUUGAUCUCACAGGAACUUCGGGGCCAUCCUGUGAGGCAGGUGCGAAGGGGAUGAUCCCCAUCUGAGGAAACAGAAGCAAAGAGAUUUGCUCGAGCCGUCCCACCACCGCAUUAUAAGGAGCAGAAUUCGAACCCCGAUUUUGGCUCCGUCCUUCUUAUUUCUCUGCCAGUUGUGUUUCCCACACCGAAUCUGGAAGGAGUCACAGGAGUCAGACAGAGGUCGAGCCUGUGCUCUCUACCUUCCUGCUGCUAUAGAACGCGGGCUAGCCCGAGGACUGAGCCCCAAAGGAAGGUCCGUGCGUGCAUCCGUCGCAAGCACUGGCCUCCUUUGCCGUGCCUUCCAAGCUUUUCAUGGGAUUACCAGGUUUAGAACUAGAAGGAGCUCAGGGACACCUAAGGUCACCCUCAGGGGCCGUCAGCUCUCAGGCACACACCCCGUUCGGCCGUGGGUCCCCGAAGUCCCCCGAAUUCUGUUCCACCGUUAGUGUCUACUUUCCCGUCCAUCGCCUCUUUUUUUUUUUUUAAUCAGAGCUGCUAAGAAGGAAUAAAC